ACUACCCGCUGAACUUAAGCAUAUCAAUAAGCGGAGGAAAAGAAACCAACAGGGAUUGCCUCAGUAACGGCGAGUGAAGCGGCAAAAGCUCAAAUUUGAAAUCUAGCACUUUCAGUGUUCGAGUUGUAAUUUGAAGAAGGUAACUUUGGUUUUGGCUCUUGUCUAUGUUCCUUGGAACAGGACGUCACAGAGGGUGAGAAUCCCGUGCGAUGAGAUGCCCAAUUCCAUGUAAAGUGCUUUCGAAGAGUCGAGUUGUUUGGGAAUGCAGCUCUAAGUGGGUGGUAAAUUCCAUCUAAAGCUAAAUAUUGGCGAGAGACCGAUAGCGAACAAGUACAGUGAUGGAAAGAUGAAAAGAACUUUGAAAAGAGAGUG
rnacentral:rRNA from 1 species